GACGAACGCUGGCGGCGUGCCUAAUACAUGCAAGUAGGACGCAGUUGCGAACGGGAGAGUAACGCGUAGGUCACUACCUAUUAGUGGGGGAUAACUACUGGAAACGAUAGCUAAUAACGCAUACAAGUGGAUGGAACUGCUUUGUAUUAGCUAUUAUGUAGGGGAAUGGCCUACCUAGGCAACGAUACAUAGCCUGCUUUGAGGGGUGAUCGGGCACACUGGGAAGUGGACACGGCCCAUACUCCGACGGGAGGGAGCAGGAGGGAAUCUUCGGCAAUGGGGGGAACCCUGACUGAGCAACGCCGGGUGAGUGAAGAAGGUUUUCGGAUCGUAAAGCUCGGUUGUUAAGGAAGCGGUACUUAACCAGAAAGGGACGGCUAACUACGUGCCAGCAGCCGCGGUAAUAC
rnacentral:rRNA from 1 species